AUUCAAUGUAUGAAAGCUGUGAAUUAAAAAUCAACUUCAAGCAACAGUUGGCAGCAUUAUGAUGAUUCAAAUACGGCUGCAAAUACAGAUUAACCAGAUGCAAAUGAUGAGAAAGAUCACCUAUUAUCUUGUUGUAAUUGUAUAGAUUAGAAUUAGAUUACUUCAUGUUCUCUAUGAAAGGAAGGUGUGUAUGUAGUGUCAACAUAUGCAGAGGGAGUGUAAAGAAAAUUUCUACAGAGAGAGAGUGUGUGUAUGCUGUAGCAGCUCAUUUGUAAUCUCCCAAAUUUUAUGAGUAAAAUUUCAUAUUUCUCCUAUCUAUUUCCUUCUACACCCAACAUUUUCUCUUCAAUCUCUUCAAAUCAUCUGUUCCCAGGCAAAUUUCUUCGAAACUAUGUUCUUCAAAUUACUUAUCAUUGCUCAUGCAUUUUUAUAGAUCUGUGAAAUCGGUUGAGAAGCCUUCACCUGUUAAUUCUCCAAUCGAUCAGCAGCAUCAUAUGACAAUGGGUCAGGCUUCAAUUUUCUCCAGUUAAUUCUCCAAUCGAUCCAAUUUUUCCCUAUAUCGUCCACUAGUGGAGGCUGCCCAUCCAACAGUUUAUGUUUGUACUUCCUUUUUAAUUCUAUUGAAUGCCAAUUGUUCUUGACAUUUACCGUGUGUUGAGUUCUAUUCGGGAACAACGAUUGCGCUGCUUGCCCCACAAACUGUGCUAGUAGCCGCUCUGUGAGAGAUGAUCCAAAUUAUGAUGCUUCAUUGCUGCUCUAUAUACAGACAUUGUGAGGAAAAGGUAUUAUUGGAGCAACAGUGUCCCUUCUUCUAGGCAAUAUUUUAUUCAAUUUGGUUCAAAUGAAACACUUGUCUUAUCACUAUUUUAGGAAUUUGCUUUCCAUGAAGAGGAGAAGACCCCAAUUUGGUGUCUAAAUCAGCUCUGAUUUAUCAGCUUUGCAUGAUUCUUCCAUUAAAAAGAAGAAUAGCUCCGAUUUGUUGUCUAAAACCAAAGAAGGAUAACUCCGAUGUGAUUAGGUAUAGGUUAGGUUUAGGUGGUGGAGAUCGAGGUGGAAGUAGAAGUAGAGGUAGAGGUAGAGGUGGAGGUGAAAGGGGAAGAUAGAAGAGAUUUUUUUCCCCUAAUUUUUAAUUUAGGAUUCGUUUGCACUUUUUUUUCAAAAAAAAUAAAAAUUAAGACUACAAUUGCAAUUAGUUCUUUAUUUUUUUAUUAUUUUAUUUAAAUAAGAGAGUAUAUUCAUCAUUUCAUAACUUUUUAUUGAGAAAUUGGAUAAAAAUGGAUUAGAAUGAUGGUUUCUGCAGUAAAAAGUUGAAAUAGGGAUGGGAAAAAAAAAGUAGAAACGUUUUGCACAUUAAACUCCAUAUAUAGGGAUGUUUUGUGCUAAUAACCCAUAUAGAAUGGUUAUUCGUGUAGAGUCGAAAACCCAAAUCGACGUUCUUCUGUUUGUCCAAAGUUUGGUAGAUGUGGAAUACAACUACUAUAUAAGGUGUUAUGUACAAAUAUUCUAAUAAUUCGAGAAAGUUAGAAUUUGGAAUAAUUCAACUUUCAUGAUAUUAGAGCAAACAGAAAAUUACGAAAAUGAAAUAAUUUAGUUUGAAUAAUA
rnacentral:lncRNA from 1 species